GGCAAUGAACAAUGCAGGAUAUCUUGAUUCAAAUCUCAUUAUCAUAUUGAAUGACAAUGAGCAAGUUUCUUUGCCUACUGCGACUGUGGAUGGUCCUGCACCUCCAGUUGGUGCUCUGAGCAAAGCCUUAACAAAGCUACAAUCAAGCAGGAAGCUUCGCCAGCUGCGUGAAGCUGCAAAGGGCAUCACAAGGCAAAUUGGAGGGCAAACGCAUGAAAUGGCAGCUAAGGUGGACUCUUAUGUGAGGGGAAUGGUGGGUGGUUCUGGGACCUGUUUGUUUGAAGAACUAGGAUUAUACUAUAUUGGUCCAGUUGAUGGCCACAGCGUGGAAGACCUUGUCUACAUAUUAGGCAAAGUCAAGGCCAUGCCUGCACCAGGACCCGUUCUUAUUCAUGUUAUUACUGAGAAAGGCAAAGGCUAUUCUCCAGCUGAAAUUGCACCUGAUAAGAUGCAUGGUGUUGUGA
rnacentral:misc_RNA from 1 species